AGGAUAAACGCUGGCGGCGUGCCUAACACAUGCAAGUCGAACGCCCUACGCAAGUAGGGAGUGGCGGACGGGUGAGGAACACGUGGGUAAUCUGCCCUUCGGUGAGGAAUACCGGCGAGAAAUCGCCGACAAUACCGCAUGCGUUUCACGGAAGUGAAAGAAAGUCGUAAGACGCCGAGGGAUGAGCCUGCGCCCGAUUAGUUUGUUGGUGGGGUAAAAGCCUACCAAGACUACAAUCGGUAGCUGGUCUGAGAGGACGAUCAGCCACACUGGGAUUGAGAACGGCCCAGACUCCUACGGGGGGCAGCAGUGAGGAAUUUCCGCAAUGGGCGAAAGCCUGACGGAGCAACGCCGCGUGAGUGAUGAAGACCUUAGGGUUGUAAAGCUCUGUCGGAGGGAAGAACACAAUGACGGUACCCUCCAAGAAAGCCCCGGAUAACUACGCGCCAGCAGCCGC
rnacentral:rRNA from 1 species